AGGUUAGGGCCUGCUAGCUCUGGUUGGUUGCUGUGUGCCCUGUCACAGUGUCUGGAGCAGGGGGGGAAACCCUUGCAGUUUAGAAGUUGUCCUGCUAAAGAAGGGUUUUGCACUGUUUCUGCACCCAAGCUGAAGCCUCUUUCAUGUGGAGAAUGUUUUUCUUCUUUGAAGACUUGGCAAAUAUUUGCCUAGCGUGGAUGUGAAGGAGGCACACGUGUGUGCAAGCAUUUUGGAUCAGAAGAGGCCUGCCAUUUCACAUGUGCUCCAGCUGUUCCCUUCACCCACCACUGGCAGGAUUAGUACUUUCAUUAACUUCUAAUGAGUUAAGUGUGUGGAAAGCACAAAAAGAGGUGGUGGAAGAUUGUUAGAUUGCUUCCAGCAUGGAGAAGCUGGGUGAGAUCCCAGAAGGGCCCCAGUAAGUUUUUCACAGCUGCAUGAAAUGAGGAGUUGCAAGGCUGACUCACUUCCCUGACUGCUCAUUGCAAUGGAGUGACAACAGGGCAGUGUUUCUGUCCCUGAUGCUUUUUUUUUCUGAGAGCACUGAGGGCUUA